GGGCCCGCACAAGCAGUGGAUUAUGUGGUUUAAUUCGACGCAACGCGAAGAACCUUACCGGGAUUUGACAUCCUACUAACGAAGCAGAGAUGCAUUAGGUGCCCUUCGGGGAAAGUAGAGACAGGUGGUGCAUGGUUGUCGUCAGCUCGUGUCGUGAGAUGUUGGGUUAAGUCCCGCAACGAGCGCAACCCUUAUUGUUAGUUGCUACGAAAGAGCACUCUAGCAAGACUGCCGUUGACAAAACGGAGGAAGGCGGGGACGACGUCAAAUCAUCAUGCCCCUUAUGUCCCGGGCUACACACGUAAUACAAUGGCGGUCAACAGAGGGAAGCUAAGCCGCGAGGUGGAGCAAAUCCCUAAAAGCCGUCUCAGUUCGGAUUGCAGGCUGCAACUCGCCUGCAUGAAGUUGGAAUUGCUAGUAAUCGUGGAUCAGCAUGCCACGGUGAAUACGUUCCCGGGCCUU
rnacentral:rRNA from 1 species